GUCCUUCAGCGCAAUGGAUAGCGCAUUGGACUUCUAAUCCAAAGGUUGUGGCUUGAAUUCCACCUGGGAUA